CGCGGCGCCGCGGCGCCCGGGUGUGGAUCCCUAGAUGGGAGCCGGGGAUGGGCCGGGUGCCUGGUGGGUGGCAGUCGGGGCUGACGGCGGCGGCACUUUGCCGCCUCAGGCCCUGGACACCUUCACCCCGCCGCCUGCCCAGGCGGGCCGGCCCUGCCCGUCCACCGGCCGCCGAGAGUCCCCGGCCUUGGGUCCCCGGGGCCGCUGACUGGCCUCGGUCACCUCCCGGGGAAGGCUCCCGCGCCUCCAUCUGCCCCCGCAGGAAGGGACCCUCUUCUCGCCCGCGAGGCUUCUCCGGGUGGGAUCGUCCUGGCCCCCAGCCCUAAGGGAUCCGCCCCCUCCGAGCAUCCGCCGCCCCUCGGAGACCACUCCAGCUCGGACGGACCCACUCCAGCCCCCGCUGCACGCGGAAGCGCUCAUCCUCCCCGCCUGCCCCGUUCCCUCCCCCUUCUCCUGUGGGACAACCAGGGACCGCAGCUCCCCGCUCCCCAGGUGUGGGGGCUCCGACACGAACGCCUCUGCUCGCAGGGCGGUGAGCGCAGAUCCCACGGGUCCCUCGGUCGGGGGUCGAGGCUGCUUCCGUUUCCAUCCCGGACCCGACAAUGGGCGGGAAAAAGAAGGCUUUACACGACUACGCGGCGGAGUUCACCGACCUGGUGGUGAAGCACCUGAUUGAGCACAGUGACUCUGGGGACACGUCUGUGGUGGAGACCCUUUACUGCAGGGCCUGCGAGCUGCCCGUGCGCGUGCGGAGGGACCGCAUCCUGGAACACCUGUCCUCGGGCAGGCAGCACGGCCUGCGGACGCCCAUUCUCAUGUAAAUGUCAGUGCCAACGCUGGUGUUUCAGGAGUCAUCCCAGCGGGCUGCGGGCUAUUUUAGGAUUCUCUGCCCUGCAAACGUUUCCAAAGUACGUGGACAGGCCGCCUGAUGACACUACGUUUACGGGAUCUGCUAGUGGCUUGCCUACUUAGGGAGUAAACCCUGUGAAGUCUCGCAGUUUUGUUAAAGUGUGCGUGGCCACCUGAAUGCUGCCUUAUCACAAGCCAGAUACAUACUGGUCUGUAGGGUAACUCCCCACUGUUGAUCCUCUGAGAUGAUUGUGGACUGGGUGCUGUGAGUCCUGCCACUUUGUUUAAGUGAAUGUGUCUUUUGUCCAGCUCAGCCGCCUCGGAUCUCGCUGCCACCAGCCUUACUGCACACCCGUGCCACCCGCCCUUGCCCCGUCAGCCUCAGCCUCAGCUCAUUCUCUCAGGCAGUCCCAGCAUUGGCACGGUACCUCCUCCCGCUGUGGGCCACACGUCUCUGCUCCCUGUCAACCCUCCUGCCAUCAGCACCACCACCAGCGACUUGUCUGCCCGGGAGGAUGCAACACCAUCUGCCUCCACCGGCCACCUUUCAGUGUUUCCUGCUUUCCAAGUAAAGAUACCAGCAGUGCCCUCAGAGCAGACCAGCCAGAGUUUUUCUGAAGCCUCCCACAGGGUGCUCCCCGGAGGAGGCCCGAGAUGCUCUCGUGACUUUGGAGCCGGGGUGGCUGGCCACCUUGGCCUGGGCAUCUUUGGGGUGGGCUUCGGGAGCCCGGCACUGCUGCAGAGUGUGGUGGAUGAGAACAGCUGCUGCUUGCUGUACGUGGUGGAGGACCAGCUGUGUGAUGUGGAGCAAGCCUUCAGAGCUGAGCAUUUGGGCCAACACCAGAGUGGUUCGGGAACAGGAUGCAGACAUUGUCCUCAACGACCAGCGGCACUUUGAUCCGGUUUUCCAGUUCUUGCACAAGCAAGUUUGUGUCAGCCACGCCCUGGGGAGGAUCCACUGGAUCACCGCCGUCACUGCCUGUUCCCGGCGGCCUCUCCGGCUUCCCUAAAGAGAGCAGGUGGGACUUUCUACAACGCUGCUGUGCACGACGUGGAUGCCGUAUGCAUGUUGCUGGGGGAAGCCACUCCGGACACUGUGUUUUCUCUGGGACAUGUCUUCUGCCCAGAUGAAAACUCAGCCUGUAAUCAGUCUGAUUGGUGUGAACAGCGACCAUUCAGAG
rnacentral:lncRNA from 1 species